rnacentral:rRNA from 1 species
AAGAUUCAUCGCUGAUAGAUAGGCAUGCGUUCCAUUAGGCAGUUGGCGGGGUAACGGCCCACCAAGCCGACGAUGGAUAGGGGUUCUGAGAGGAAGGUCCCCCACAUUGGUAUUGAGACACGGACCAAACUCCUACGGGAGGCAGCAGUGAGGAAUAUUGGUCAAUGGCCGAGAGGCUGAACCAGCCAAGUCGCGUGAGGGAUGAAGGUUCUAUGGAUCGUAAACCUCUUUUAUAAGGGAAUAAAGUGCGGGACGUGUCCCGUUUUGUAUGUACCUUAUGAAUAAGGAUCGGCUAACUCCGUGCCAGCAGCCGCGGUAAUACGGAGGAUCCGAGCGUUAUCCGGAUUUAUUGGGUUUAAAGGGUGCGUAGGCGGCCUUUUAAGUCAGCGGUGAAAGUCUGUGGCUCAACCAUAGAAUUGCCGUUGAAACUGGGGGGCUUGAGUAUGUUUGAGGCAGGCGGAAUGCGAGGUGUAGCGGUGAAAUGCAUAGAUAUCACGCAGAACCCCGAUUGCGAAGGCAGCCUGCCAAGCCAUGACUGACGCUGAUGCACGAAAGCGUGGGGAUCAAACAGGAUUAGAUACCCUGGUGGUCCACGCAGUAAACGAUGAUCACUAGCUGUUUGCGAUACACUGUAAGCGGCA